rnacentral:rRNA from 1 species
CUACGGGACGCUGCAGUGAGGAAUAUUGCACAAUGGGGGGAACCCUGAUGCAGCAACGCCGCGUGGAGGAUGACGCAUUUCGGUGUGCAAACUCCUUUUAUAUGUCAAGAAAAUGACGGUAGCAUAUGAAUAAGCACCGGCUAACUCCGUGCCAGCAGCCGCGGUAAUAGGGAGGGUGCAAGCGUUACUCGGAAUCACUGGGCGUAAAGGACGCGUAGGCGGGUUGGAAAGUCAGGUGUGAAAUCCUACAGCUUAACUGUAGAACUGCACUUGAAACUUCUAAUCUAGAGUAUGGGAGGGGGAGAUGGAAUUAGUGGUGUAGGGGUAAAAUCCGUAGAUAUCACUAGGAAUACCUAAAGCGAAGGCGAUCUCCUGGAACAUUACUGACGCUAAGGCGUGAAAGCGUGGGGAGCAAACAGGAUUAGAUACCCGCGUAGUC